CAGGUGGAGCUGCAGCUUGUGCAGACCUGUGCCUUGAGACAGAAGGGCAGCCUCUCUGGGGAGCACUCUAACAGGUCCCCAGAUCUGACACAUCAAGAUUAAGUCCUGAAGAUUUGGAGCUGAGUGACAAGAAAGGGUGGUACGCCUACCACAGCAUGGCUGCCAAGCAGUGCCAUGUCCGCACCCGGGAUCCGAACCGGCGAACCCUGGGCCGCCGAGAAGCGGAACGUGAGAACUUAACCACUGCACCACCGGGCCGGCCCCUACAAAUUACCUUUUAAAAAAUAAAAAGAGAUCAUUCAAAGGGUGGUGACAUGAUACACGGUAUAGAUGUGCGCAUGUACUCAACUGAAAGAGGAAUGUUAACAAUAUAAUGAAAUUAGUGUGAGCUGCCGUCACAGCAUGGCCACUGACAGACAAGUGGUGUGCUUCUGCACCUGGGAACCAAACACUGGGCUGCUGAAGUGGAGCACAUUGAACUUUAACCACUGGGCCAUUGGGGCUGGCCCCAUAUCAUCCUUUUUAAGAAUGAUUUUGAUUAUGAUUGCAUGAUCUGGAAAGAGAAUUGGAAGACCCAGGAAGAACUGAAUUGCUCUCUGAAAUCAAGUGACAGAAAGUCUCUGUGGUGCUUUGAGGAGUGAAGAAAAAUGGGGGUACUCACAACCUGGGGUGAAUUGUGAAGAUAAAACAAUAGCCCUCGAACCGUUAGAAACCAGAAGACAGUAAGAGGCACUCCCUCUCGCCCUCUCACUUGCUCACUCUGAUGAAGCGAGCUGAGCUGCCCUCUUCUGAGCUGCCCUUCUAAGAGGCCCAUGUGGCAAAGACUGAGGGCCACCUCACUGAGAGACCAAAGCCCUCAGUCCAACAGCCCUUGAGGAACUGAAUCUUGCCAAUUCGGUAACUUGACUGAGUUUGGAAGUGGAUCCUUCCCCCGUUUAUCCAAGAGAUGGCUGCAGUCUCCGCUGACACCUUGAUUGCAGCCUUGUGAGAGACCCAAAGCUGGAGGACCCAGCUAAGCCACCGCCAGAUUCCUGACCUACCGGAACUGGAAUAAUUACACAACAACAGAUAAUUAAGACAAAUGAUAAUGUUCAUAACUAGCAUUCUUGAGUGUUAGCUGUAUGUCAGGCACUGUGCUAAGUGAUUUACGUGUGAUUUCUCUUUUCAUCUUCACAGCAGUCCCAUGAAGAAGAUAGUAGUAAUCUCAUUUUAUAGAUGGGGAAACUGAGGCUUAGAGGAAUUCGCCAAAGUUACAGAGCUAGUGAGUAAACUCAGAGUGUAAACCUGUGUAGUCUUGCUCUAGAGCCUGGGUGCUUAAACAGGGUGUUCUGUUUGCUCUGCUACAUCAACUAAUCCCUCUCAUCCUGAAUACACUUUUUGCUGAACUGGCUGGUUUUUUAAAUGGAACUACAUUGCUGUUUUUGAAUAAAGUAAUCCCAGGCCUGGGCCCUUGGUCACCUCAGAGAUGGGCAGGCAAAAGCCAGAGACGGGACCAGCAGCCUUGUGUGAAAAACAUAUUCCGAGCACUUGUGUUCUUUGAUUUGGAGCUGACAUUUGUCCUAGCCGUAGUAACGGAGGAGAGGGAAGGAUGAGAGUGGGGAAGGGUGAUUCAUUAUUUCAGCUCUUGUGUCAGCAUAUCAGACUGUGAGGAUGAAAACAAAUCAAGAGAGAAUGUUGUUGGGAUGGUUCGGAUAUGUUUCAGUUGGGACCUACCAAGAAAAAAGGAAAUAAUACGUAAAGUGUUGUGAUGUAAAACAAUUAUUGUGAGAAUAGUUAUAUUGCUUUUAAAAAAAAACUAUUUUGGAAAUAGCUUUUAUCUCUUUUAAUGUAACAGUAGUUAUUAUUACAUGCUUGAUAUAAUAAAAACAUGAAUAGAACAACUGAGAAAAUUAUAGAGAGUGGAUAUCACCCCCAGUCCCACCCAAUAGCAUUAAACAGAUGGAUAGUUUUUACUGUUUCAUAAUAUGUUUGCCUCUUAUUACGGCUAUCUUUUCAUGUCAAUAACUAGGUCGACAUCAUUGUUUGCAGUGUUCUGCUGUUAAGUAUGUUAAAUCAUUUAUCCAAAAUAAUUUCCUGGAUAUUUAAGUUGCUUCCAGUUUUCUGUAAUAAACAACUCCAUGAAAGGUCAC
rnacentral:lncRNA from 1 species